rnacentral:rRNA from 1 species
GACGAACGCUGGCGGCGUGCCUAAUACAUGCAAGUCGAGCGAUGACGCUUGGUGCUUGCACCAAUUUGCAGAGCGGCGAACGGGUGAGUAACGCGUGGGUAAUCUGCCUUUUAUCGGGGGACAACAUUUGGAAACGAAUGCUACUACCGCAUAAUACCUUUAAACAUAAGAUUUAAGUUUGAAAGAUGCAAUUGCAUCACUCAAAGAUGAUCCCGCGUUGGAUUAGCUAGCUGGUGAGGUAAAGGCUCACCAAGGGAAAGAUACAUAGGCGACCUGGGAGGGUGGACCACCAAAACUGGACUGGGACAAGGGCCCAACUCCCACGGGGGGCAGCAGUAGGGAAUCUUCGGCAAUGGAGGAAAGUCUGACCGAGCAAAGCCGGGUGAGGGAAGAAGGGUUUCGGAUCGGAAAACUCUGUUGGUAGAGAAGAACGUUGGUGAGAGUGGAAAGCUCAUCAAGUGACGGUAACUACACAGAAAGGGACGGCUAACUACGUG